UUUAGGGAGACCCAAAUCAACUCAAAAGUCAAAAUUCAUUCGUUCCAAAUGAGCAAUCAGAUUUUGGAAUUUUGAAUUGAGAGUUUUGAAUUGAUUUUAUCCCGAGGUCGGUCGCAAUCUUAAGGAAAGCUUUCAAACUAUAAGGAAGGUUCGGAUAUGGGCUAUUAGCUCAGGUGGUUAGAGCGCACCCCUGAUAAGGGUGAGGUCCCUGGUUCGAGUCCAGGAUGGCCCACCUAAGAUAGUUCAAAAGUCAAAACUAUGAAUUCAAAAUUCUUUUUUUGAAUUUUGAGGAUUGAAUUUUGAAUUGCUUGAGGGGGUAUAGCUCAGUUGGUAGAGCGCCUGCUUUGCAAGCAGGAUGUCAGGAGUUCGAGUCUCCUUACCUCCACCUACUGUGAAGAGAUAAAAAAACUAGGUCUCUUACGUACUCAAGUACUAAAGCAGCAGGAAAGUGCGAGAGAGUCAGGAGAAAGUAGCCAAACUCACUGUGCUCACAGCAGAGAUAUGGUAACAAUAUUCAGCACCGAAGAAAAAACUUCGACUGCUGGGAGAGUUUCCAGCAAAAGAACCUUGAAAACUGCAUAGAAACGCGAAAAGUAGGUAGUUAAGUGUUAGUAGAAAAAAACUAAGACUUAGCAGACAACUAUGAAGCCAAAGUAGUGU
rnacentral:tRNA from 1 species